UACGAAGGGUGCAAGCGUUCAUCGGAAUUACUGGGCGUAAAGGGUGCGUAGGCGGUUGUUUAAGUCUGUCGUGAAAUCCCCGGGCUCAACCUGGGAAUGGCGAUGGAUACUGGACAGCUAGAGUGUGUCAGAGGAUGGUGGAAUUCCCGGUGUAGCGGUGAAAUGCGUAGAGAUCGGGAGGAACAUCAGUGGCGAAGGCGGCCAUCUGGGACAACACUGACGCUGAAGCACGAAAGCGUGGGGAGCAAACAGG
rnacentral:rRNA from 1 species